CCCAUUUCAAUCUCAAAUUUAAAGCUAUUCUGCAGCAGCUUCAAAAAUUGUUUCAUCUUCUUCCCAACUCCUCACGCCAAAACCCCCUCCCUUUUAACUUUGAUUUGGACAAAUGAAGCAAACGAUACCGACGGCGCGCCUCUGCUGAUUUGAUUUGGCUUUAUAUAGCAGAAACAACGGAGAAAGAAACUAUCGAAAAAAAAAAAAAACUCUCCCCCCUUUGUCGUCCUCUCUGCCAUUAUUUUUAUUCGUGGUUCAUGGCUUGUUGCCGGUGUGGGCGUUGGAGAACGUGGGUGAGACAACGUGGGCAGUUGCUAUGCGAUCAUGCGUGAAGACGGUUGCUGCAACGUGGGGGCGAGGGUGAUGCCGAUCUGCUGCUUAUUGCCAAAUGUUUCUGCUGUUCAUUUUUUUUAUUUUAGGCUAGUGGGUCAGGUAUUCGGGUUAACGACUUGUGCUUGUAAUGGGUUUGGGCUUUAGGCUUAGUUGGGCCCGGGUCAAAAAUUGGGUAUUACAAUUAUAAUUGUGCAAAGCAACUAAAAGAAUCAUACAACUUAAAAUUCCUAAAAUUCCAAAAGAAUCUAAAGUUUUAAGUA